rnacentral:lncRNA from 1 species
AUGCAAGCCCUGUCUAUUCCCCUCUAUUUUGGGGGGGCAAGGACAAGUCUUGUUCUUCUCACUCCUACACUCUGCAGGCAUUCCCUCCUCGAUGCAGGCACUGUCUAUCCCGGUCCAUCUUUUUCGGUCCAGCAGAUGUCUUGUUCUUCACACUCCUACACACUGCAGGCAUUCCCUCCUCAAUGCAAGCCCUGUCUAUCUCCCUCUGUUUUUUUUUUGGGGGGGUCUAGUUCAAGUCUUCUUCCCACCCCUCCACCCUGUAGGUUUUCCCUCCUCGACGCAAGACCUGUCUAUCCCCCUCCUUCUUUUUUGGCCAGGCACAUGCCUUGUUCUUCACACUCCUACAUUCUACAGGCAUUCCCUCCUCGAUGCAGGCACGGUCUAUCACUCUACAUAUUUUGGCCUCAAGCACUAGUCUUCUUCUUCCCACCCCUCCAUCCUGUAGGUUCUCCCUCCUCAACGCAAGCCCUAUCUAUCCCCCUCCAUCUUUUUUGGCCAAGCACAAGACUUGCUCUUCCCACACCUACACUCUGCAGGCAUUCCCUCCUCGACGCAGGCACUGUCUCUUCUCCUUCAUUUUUUUAUGUCCAGCACAAGUCUUUUUCUUCUCACUCCUACACUCUGGAGGCAUUCUCGAUGCAAGCCCUGUCUAUUCUCCUCCAUUUUUUCCCCAGCACAAGUCUUGUUCUUCUCACCCCGCCACUCUGUAGGUUUUCCCUCCUCAAGGUAAGCCGUCUAUGCCCCUCUAUUUUCGCCAAGCAAAAGUCUUGUUCUUCACACUCCUACACUCUGCAGACAUUCCCUCCUCAAUGCAAGCCCUGUGUAUCCCGCUCCAUUUUAUUGGGUCUAGCACAAGUCUUAUUUUUCACACCCCUCCACACUGUAGGUUUUCCUUCUUUGACUCAAGUCCUGUCUAUCACCUCCUCUUUUUUUCACCCAUCAGAAAGUUGGUUUUACUGCCCUGCACUUCUUUCCAGUCUUUCCCUACUCCAAGCAAGCCCAGGCUUUCAUCCAGUCUUUUCUGUCCCACAACAACCCUGGUUCUUAGUACCCUUCAUCUUUCCAGGCAUUCCCUCCUGUCUGUCGCUGGGCAAUGACAAUCUAGUUCUUCAACAACUCAUUCCAUAG